GAUGAAGAACGUAGCGAAAUGCGAUAAGUAGUGUGAAUUGCAGAAUUCAGUGAAUCAUCGAAUCUUUGAACGCACAUUGCGCCCCUUGGUAUUCCAUGGGGCAUGCCUGUUCGAGCGUCAUUUGUACCUUCAAGCUCUGCUUGGUGUUGGGUGUUUGUCUCGCCUCUGCGUGUAGACUCGCCUCAAAACAAUUGGCAGCCGGCGUAUUGAUUUCAGAGCGCAGUACAUCUCGCGCUUUGCACUCAUGACGAUGACGUCCAAAAGUACAUUUUUACACUCUUGACCUCGGAUCAGGUAGGGAUACCCGCUGAACUUAAGCAUAUCAAUAAGCGGAGGA
rnacentral:misc_RNA from 1 species